UGGCGGCAUGCCUAACACAUGCAAGUCGAACGGAGUUCACUUUUUAGAUUCCUUCGGGAUGACGAAAUUUGAACUUAGUGGCGGACGGGUGAGUAACGCGUGGGUAACCUGCCCUUUUGUGGGGAACAACUUCGAGAAAUUGAAGCUAAUACCGCAUAAACUUUAGGAGUCGCAUGACUCUAAAAGGAAAGAUGGCCUAUCGAAGAAGCUAUCGCAAAAGGAUGGACCCGCGUCUGAUUAGCUAGUUGGAAGGGUAACGGCCUACCAAGGCGACGAUCAGUAGCCGGCCUGAGAGGGUGAACGGCCACAUUGGGACUGAGACACGGCCCAAACUCCUACGGGAGGCAGCAGUGGGGAAUCUUCCGCAAUGGGCGAAAGCCUGACGGAGCAAUGCCGCGUGAGUGAAGAAGGCCUUCGGGUUGUAAAACUCUGUCCUUAUUGAAGAGAGGUAUUAGUGUGAAUAAUGCUAAUAUAGGACGGUAAAUAAGGAGGAAGCCCCGGCUAACUACGUGCCAGCAGCCGCGGUAAUACGUAGGGGGCGAGCGUUGUCCGGAAUCACUGGGCGUAAAGGGCGCGUAGGCGGUUUAAUAAGUCAGUGGUGAAAACUAUGGGCUCAACCCAUAGCCUGCCACUGAUACUGUUAGACUUGAGUAUGGAAGAGGAGAAUGGAAUUCCUAGUGUAGCGGUGAAAUGCGUAGAUAUUAGGAGGAACACCAGUGGCGAAGGCGAUUCUCUGGGCCAAAACUGACGCUGAGGCGCGAAAGCGUGGGGAGCAAACAGGAUUAGAUACCCUGGUAGUCCACGCUGUAAACGAUGAUUACUAGGUGUGGGGGGACUGACCCCUUCCGUGCCGGAGCAAACGCAAUAAGUAAUCCACCUGGGGAGUACGGCCGCAAGGUUGAAACUCAAAGGAAUUGACGGGGGCCCGCACAAGCAGUGGAGUAUGUGGUUUAAUUCGAAGCAACGCGAAGAACCUUACCAGGUCUUGACAUCGAGUGACAGAAUAAGAGAUUAUUCUUUCCUUCGGGACACAAAGACAGGUGGUGCAUGGUUGUCGUCAGCUCGUGUCGUGAGAUGUUGGGUUAAGUCCCGCAACGAGCGCAACCCUUAUCAUUAGUUGCUACGCAAGAGCACUCUAGUGAGACUGCCGUUGACAAAACGGAGGAAGGUGGGGAUGACGUCAAAUCAUCAUGCCCCUUAUGACCUGGGCUACACACGUACUACAAUGGUCGGUACAAAGAGCAGCAAGACCGUGAGGUGGAGCAAAUCUCAAAAACCGAUCCCAGUUCGGAUUGUAGGCUGCAACUCGCCUACAUGAAGUUGGAGUUGCUAGUAAUCGUGGAUCAGAAUGCCACGGUGAAUGCGUUCCCGGG
rnacentral:rRNA from 1 species